CGCGUAGGCGGCCUGCUAAGUCUGGAGUGAAAGUCCUGCUUUCAAGGUGGGAAUUGCUUUGGAUACUGGUGGGCUGGAGUGCAGGAGAGGAAAGCGGAAUUACCGGUGUAGCGGUGAAAUGCGUAGAGAUCGGUAGGAACACCAGUGGCGAAGGCGGCUUUCUGGACUGAAACUGACGCUGAGGCGCGAAAGCGUGGGAGCAAACA
rnacentral:rRNA from 1 species